GGAAGGAAAUGGCAAGGCUCUCCAGUAUCCUUGCCUGGAGAUUCCAUGGGCAGAGAAGCCUGGCAGUGUUUCAGUUCACAGGGUCACAAAAGGGUUGGACAAUGACUUAGAGACUGAACAACAGUGAUACAAACACUCAUACACACCCCUCGCAGAAUAAUCACCACCGUACUGACACAGGACGCGGGUUUAGCAGGACGUGUCCUCAUGGGCGCUGCCUGUGUUCUUGUUCUGUGUGAUGGUGCCUUAUCACGUACUGGAAGAAGAGGAGACAGCGAAUCUCUCUCUUUGCUCUCCACCAUGUGAAGAUACAGUGAAAAGAUGGCCACCUGCAAACCAGGAGGUAGGUGCUCACCAGUUUCUGGAUCUGUCAGUGCUUUAAUCUUGGACUCCUUAACCUGCAGAACUCUGAGAAAUAAAUUCCUGUUGUU